rnacentral:misc_RNA from 1 species
AUGAGAAUCAUCUCUUUCUACAUAAUUAAACAUUAUAAACAUCAAUUGGUCAACAUUUUACCAAAACCCUAGUUCUCACCAAAACCCUAAUUCUCUUCUUCACAAUUUCAUGCACAUGCAAUUCUCAUGCAAUUCACUACUCAAAUCAUGUCCACAUCAUCAUUUAAGCAAGAUUACAUGUUCAAUUCCAUUAAAUCACCUCAAACCAUACUCCCCCCAUGGCUGGCCGAAUUUUUAAUCCCUCCAUACAUGUAUGUUAUCUUCAAUUUCUUAUCUCAAUUCUUCAAAAUUAAACUUAAUUUCAAGAAAUGAAGUGUAAAGGAAGCUAGAUGGUUCACUUACCUCUUAUGGAGUUCUCCCAAUCUUCCAAACCUUCAAGCUUAUUCUAUUUUCUUUGCUUCUAAUCUUCAAAUUAAGGUUUAAUUUGAGAUUUUCUACUAAUUUGGUGGGAGGUUUAUGGAGGGAAAGUGGAGAUUUAAGCUUAGGCUUAGGUGAAAAUGGAAGAAAUUUGAGAGAAUGAGAGAGAGAGAGCCAGCUGAAUUUUUGAAGAAGAUAAUUUGUUUUUUUUUUUUAAUGUCUUUUUUUACAUAUAAUUAUCCCCAAAUUUAUAAAAUUUAAAAUUAUAAAUUUAAUUAGGUCAUACUUAGGUAAUAAUGUCAUAAAGCAUUAAAAUUAAGAUUUUUCAUUUCUUUCAUUUUCUUUUCUCUACACAUCUCUAUAUUUUUAGCUAUUUUUUAUUAUUUUAACCUCAUACCUUUAAGUGGAUACUUAGGUAAAAAAUCACCUCUAGGGGUGAAUU